CGCGGUCCCUCCCCGGCUCCGCCGUCGCAGCGGGGCUCGGCCUUGCCCCUCCGCCGUUACCUGCUGCCGGGGGCGGCUUCCCCCACACACCACCCCGUGCUCCGGGGACGGCGGCGGCUGCAGGUCCCGCGGCUCUCACAUGAGGCGCCCCUGGCCCCCCGCUUCGCGCUCCCGCAGCCGCGGCCCCCCGCGCUCCGCCCGCAUCCGAGGCGCUGGUCCCGCGGAGGGCGCCAACGCGGCUCCACCUUUGCGGCUCUGGCUGCCCAGAGAGAAGCUUUCCUUCUCAGUCCCGCGCUGUCCGCGUCCUUGUUCAGGGAUCCCCGGCGCCGCGAGAGACUACCUCAGCGAGCGGUGCCACCGCAUCUAACUCCAGUCCAAUAUCCCCUAAGACGCCUUCUCUGACCACUCCAGGGCACAAUGAUCUCAAGGUUCAGCAUCUCCAGAGAUGAGCUUUCCAAAUACCUGAUGAAGAUAUGCAUGUGAAAAGGAAUUAAUGACAGGCAUUAACACUAUAUUGGCCAGAGGACUCAUUAGCUGAUUCCGCAGGUUUUAUAAUAUGCUACUCUUGCUAACAUACACCACUAUUUUUCUUAAUUACAAAUGCAACAUGUAACUCAGGUGUUUAGGACUAUGAAAAGAAAAAAUGGGCAACAUUUGUAGCCAGAAAUUUCUAUAAUAAGUUUCACAAAAUAUUUUGUUACACUCUUAAAAUAUAUUACGGCAAUUAUCCUGUGCUAGAAUAUGUCAUAAGGACACUCACUUGAGACGUAAUCAGUCUGAAUACUCGCAGAGUCUCAGCUUCACAGUUCCUCUGCUGGGCCACACUGGCUGAAAUCUGGCCAGCUAUUUUUGUGCUUUCACCAUCUUUCCAGCCCAGGACUUUGACUUGUCGAACUCUCAGUGUAUUUUCUGGGCCUUUUAAUUCAAUUUUUAUGAUGUGAUUAUCCCCUCCUGGAAGUUCACUUGUUACCCAGCCAAUGUGCCUGGAAUCCAGAUCAACCUGGUUGAGUAGAAAAGAGGCAGGAACCUGAUUCAGCUGGAUCACUUUUAUCACUGUGCUGGACUUAGCAUUGAUAUUAGCAAGCUCAAAUAACAAAGAAUUGUACAGAGUAAAGGUUAUGAGGUUAUUUCACACUGAUUUUCUUAUUUCAACCAGGUGAAGAUAAGUAAUAUUAUUUAUAGUUGCUAUUACACAGAUGAAGAAACCAAGGUUAACACAGGUUAAGGGAUUUUCAGUAAAUGGUGGAAUUGAGAAUUAAAAUCCAGGCCUGACUACGAUAUGGCUUCCGAGCAAAAUUAUAUGAGUAAAAUAAUUACAAAUAAUUUAUAUGACUGUACCUUAUCUGUAUUAUCUGUAAGAGGAAACCUCACAAGAUCAGAAAAGGGUUCUUUUUUUGUGCAUCCUCACAUUAAAGUACAAUUUAAAGAUAAGGGACUUUAAAGUGCAGUUACUUAAUAUGUUUUACUUUUGAACAAAAAUUAUAUAAUAUGUAACUUCACACUUGUGAUUCCUUAUUUCACUAAUUUUCAUUGAGAACAUGAUUUUUUUUUCAAGGAUUAAAU
rnacentral:sRNA from 1 species